rnacentral:rRNA from 1 species
GACGAACGCUGGCGGCGUGCUUAACACAUGCAAGUCGAACGGAAAGGCCCUGCUUUUGUGGGGUGCUCGAGUGGCGAACGGGUGAGUAACACGUGAGUAACCUGCCCUUGACUUUGGGAUAACUUCAGGAAACUGGGGCUAAUACCGGAUAGGAGCUCCUGCUGCAUGGUGGGGGUUGGAAAGUUUCGGCGGUUGGGGAUGGACUCGCGGCUUAUCAGCUUGUUGGUGGGGUAGUGGCUUACCAAGGCUUUGACGGGUAGCCGGCCUGAGAGGGUGACCGGCCACAGGGGUACUGAGAUACGGCCAAGACUCCUACGGGAGGCAGCAGUGGGGAAUAUUGCACAAUGGGCGGAAGCCUGAUGCAGCAACGCCGCGUGCGGGAUGACGGCCGUCGGGUUGUAAACCGCUUGCGCCUGUGACGAAGCGGGAGUGACGGUAAUGGGUAAAGAAGCACCGGCUAACUACGUG